GACGAACGCUGGCGGCGUGCUUAACACAUGCAAGUCGAACGGUGAAGCGCCUUCCUUUUUGGUGGGUGUGGAUGAGUGGCGAACGGGUGAGUAACACGUGAGUAACCUGCCCCCUUCUUCUGGAUAACCGCAUGAAAGUGUGGCUAAUACGGGAUAUCCUGGGUCUGUCGCAUGAUGGGUCUGGGAAAGAUAUUGUUUCGGUGGGGGAUGGGCUCGCGGCCUAUCAGCUUGUUGGUGGGGUGAUGGCCUACCAAGGCGGGGACGGGUAGCCGGCCUGGGAGGGUGGACGGUCACACUGGGACUGAGACACGGCCCAGACUCCUACGGGAGGCAGCAGUGGGGAAUAUUGCACAAUGGGCGCAAGCCUGAUGCAGCGACGCCGCGUGAGGGAUGGAGGCCUUCGGGUUGUGAACCUCUUUCGCCAGUGAAGCAGGCCUGCCUCGUUUGUGGGUGGGUUGACGGUAGCUGGAUAAGAAGCGCCGGCUAACUACGUG
rnacentral:rRNA from 1 species